rnacentral:rRNA from 1 species
GUCUACGGCCAUAUCCCCCUGAACGCACCUGAUCUUGUCUGAUCUUGGAAGCUAAGCAGAGUUGGGUCUGGUUAGUACUUGGAUGGUAGACCGUCUGGGAAUACCAGGUGCUGUAGGCU